rnacentral:siRNA from 1 species
ACACUUCUGGUACCAGUGUC